rnacentral:rRNA from 1 species
GAUGAACGCUGGCGGUCUGCUUAACACAUGCAAGUCGAACGGACCCUUCGGGGUUAGUGGCGGACGGGUGAGUAACGCGUGAGAAUCUGGCUGUGGGUCGGGGACAACCACUGGAAACGGUGGCUAAUACCGGAUGAGCCGAAAGGUAAAAGAGAAAUUGCCUGGAGAUGAGCUCGCGUCUGAUUAGCUAGUUGGUGAGGUAAAAGCUUACCAAGGCGACGAUCAGUAGCUGGUCUGAGAGGAUGAGCAGCCACACUGGGACUGAGACACGGCCCAGACUCCUACGGGAGGCAGCAGUGGGGAAUUUUCCGCAAUGGGCGAAAGCCUGACGGAGCAAGACCGCGUGGGGGAGAAGGCUCUAGGGUUGUAAACCCUUUCUUGGGAAGAAGAAGUGACGGUACCAAAGGAAUCAGCCUCGGCUAACUCCGUGCCAGCA